rnacentral:rRNA from 1 species
GACGAACGCUGGCGGCGUGCUUAACACAUGCAAGUCGAGCGGUAAGGCCCUUUCGGGGUACGACGAGCGGCGAACGGGUGAGUAACACGUGGGUGACCUGCCCUCAGCUCUGGGAGUAAAGCCUGGGAACCGGGUCUAAUACUGGAUAUGACUCCAUGACGCAUGUUGUGGGGUGGAAAGCCUUGUGCGGCUGAGGAUGGGCCCGCGGCCUAUCAGCUUGUUGGUGGGGUGAUGGCCUACCAAGGCGACGACGGGUAGCCGGCCUGAGAGGGCGACCGGCC